UUCUACCUACGGGGGGCAGCAGUGAGGAAUAUUGGUCAAUGGCCGAGAGGCUGAACCAGCCAAGUCGCGUGAGGGAAGACGGCCCUACGGGUUGUAAACCUCUUUUGUCGGGGAGCAAAGCGAACCACGUGUGGUUCAUUGAGAGUACCCGAAGAAAAAGCAUCGGCUAACUCCGUGCCAGCAGCCGCGGUAAUACGGAGGAUGCGAGCGUUAUCCGGAUUUAUUGGGUUUAAGGGGUGCGCAGGCGGAAGAUCAAGUCAGCGGUAAAAUUGAGAGGCUCAACCUCUUCGAGCCGUUGAAACUGG
rnacentral:rRNA from 1 species